rnacentral:miRNA from 1 species
CCUGAUCCCACAGCCCACCU